rfam:Triticum aestivum genome assembly, contig: Triticum_aestivum_CS42_TGACv1_scaffold_031893_1BL
GAAAUACUCCCUCCGUCCGGAAAUACUUGUCAUCAAAAUGGAUGAAAAUCGAUGUAUCUACAACUAAAAUACAUUUAGAUACAUCCAUUUCAAUGACAAGUAUUUCGGAACGGAUGGAGUAUUUA